GCGACCGUAGCUCAAGUGGUGAGAGCACCGGAGUACCGUUCUGGAGGUCUAGGGUUCACGUCCCGCCGGCCGUC
rnacentral:tRNA from 1 species